CACGCGGGCGGCGUCGCGGGCCGAGCGGGGCGGCGGGGGGCGCGCGCGGCCCGGCCGGGUGUCGGCGCCCGGGCUGCGGCCGAGGGGUGAGCGGCCGCGGACGGAAGGCGCGCUGCCGGGGUCCGGCGGUCGCUGAGCCGCGGAAGCCCGGGCUUCGCGCAGCCACGCGCUGUGCGCGCCCGCGCCCCAGCUUCUGGGGUCUGCGCGGCCAGCCGCUGGGCCCGCGGGUGUGUCCCGGGACCCGCCUUCUGCCGCUGGACGUGCUGGCGGAGAGAGCGCGGGUUACCGCCACGCUACUGUGUCCCCAGCUGGGUGGCCGAAGCCCAGAGAACGCAAGCGAGUCGCCGGUCGUCGCAGCCUCGGAACCUGGGCUCAUUUCCAUACCUCCUGCGGACCCCCUGGAUUCUGGAGAAGAAAGACCAUACCGGUUUUAAAAGCACAAAUACUAGUCUUAGCAUUCACAUCCAGAACCUCAAGACUUGUUGACUCAGGUGGAGCUAAUGCAGGGAACUUACUCUUCGGGUGACAGACUCAGAGCACCGGUGCUGUGUGCCUUUGAUUCCCUUCUCAGAUGAAAAGGAAGAUCCUGGCCCCUGAACCAAGCGCAUUUGCAUGAGCCCAGAGCCUUGUUGGAACAGCUGUCCUGGCGGCCCAGGGAGCCUGCCGCACUGUAUCCUGACUUGGAAGCACCGGUGUAAGGAGGGUAAAGAAGGAAGGGAAGCUGCUGCCUCCUGUUCUGGCCCCCAGGACCCCUGAGGAGCACCCACUACCUUGCCCACUCACAUCUGGCAAGGAGAGAGGGAUUGACUCACUCCAACAGCAAAACGAGCCCUACCCCAAAGACCCCCAAAUAGGACCAGCCACCAGAUCUCAGCCUCACUGGUGGCUCAGAGCUCACAGCCAGGUCUGUGGCUGGUCUCAGAGGAGCAAAGAGGCAGGACUGCCUAGAAAUCUGGAACGGCAGCUACCAUGUCCUUGGCUUACCACUCGGGUCAGUCUGACGGCAGGCAACCCCCGGCCUCGCCUGUUGUGAUACUGGGUGCUGCUUGGGUAGGUUUGCUCUCGCUUCGUUCCACAAGUGAGUUCUGCUGGGUGUAAGCAAAACACCGUGUGAGGGCCCCUUGGCAGCCCUGCGGACCUUCAGGGACCUUGAGGCAGGAGGAUCUUGAGUUCCAAGCUAGCCAGUUGACUGUUGCCAAUGAUGAAAAAAUCCAGACUUUGAAGAGAAACUUAGAAUUUUGGAAAAAUUGUAUCCUCAUGAGCUUGACCGCCUCUCAGUGUUUAGGGGCUUUUCUGUUGCGAUCAGUGGUGAUUUUAGGGAAUGUAUUUUGUCGGGGUUUCCAGGACCCCCAGCCUUGGGCACGGUCAAGAUGGCACCUGACGCUGAGCCAAAAGCGGCCAGCUAUACAGUAAACAACCAGCGAAUUCCAAUGAUUGGCUAGUUAACGAUGUGAUU